rnacentral:misc_RNA from 1 species
UCGUAACAAGGUUUCCGUAGGUGAACCUGCGGAAGGAUCAUUAACGAGUUUUGUACUAAUUCAGUACAAUCUUCAUCCAUAACACCUGUGAACUUUACAUAAACUUUUGCUUUGGCUGGACGUAAAAAACCUAGCCAAAGGAUUUAAACAAAACCUUUUAUUUAAUAACCUAUUGUCUGAAUUGUAAUAAUUUUAAUUAUUCAAAACUUUCAACAACGGAUCUCUUGGUUCUCGCAUCGAUGAAGAACGCAGCGAAAUGCGAUAAGUAUUGUGAAUUGCAGAUUUGUGAAUCAUCGAAUUUUUGAACGCACAUUGCGCCCUCUGGUAUUCCGGGGGGCAUGCCUGUUCGAGCGUCAUUGCUUUCUCAAACCCUCUGGUUUGGUGUUGAAUUUAUUAUGUAGCAAUACAUAUGAUUCGAAAAGCAUUGGCAAGGCUAUUUGAGCUUUUCUUACAACGUAUUAGGUUUUACCAACUCGUUGGCUACAGUAAGUUUAAAAAUAAAGCCUGGCUUUAGAACUCUCUAAAGUUUGACCUCGGAUCAGGUAGGAUUACCCGCUGAACUUAAGCAUAUCAAUAA